UACGUAGGUGGCAAGCGUUGUCCGGAUUUACUGGGCGUAAAGAGCGCGCAGGCGGUCGUUCAAGUCGCGUGUGAAAGCCCCCGGCUCAACUGGGGAGGGUCACGCGAUACUGAUCGACUGGAAGGCAGGAGAGGGUAGUGGAAUUCCCGGUGUAGUGGUGAAAUGCGUAGAGAUGGGGGAGAACACUCGUGGCGAAGGCGGCCAGCUAGACCAGUUCUGACACUGAGGCGCGACAGCGUGGGGAGCAAACAGG
rnacentral:rRNA from 1 species